CCUACGGGAGGCAGCAGUGAGGAAUAUUGGUCAAUGGACGAGAGGCUGAACCAGCCAAGUAGCGUGAAGGAUGACUGCCCUAUGGGUUGUAAACUUCUUUUAUAUGGGAAUAAAAUGUUCCACGUGUGGGAUUUUGUAUGUACCAUAUGAAUAAGGAUCGGCUAACUCCGUGCCAGCAGCCGCGGUAAUACGGAGGAUCCGAGCGUUAUCCGGAUUUAUUGGGUUUAAAGGGAGCGUAGGUGGAUUGUUAAGUCAGUUGUGAAAGUUUGCGGCUCAACCGUAAAAUUGCAGUUGAAACUGGCAGUCUUGAGUAUAGUAGAGGUGGGCGGAAUUCGUGGUGUAGCGGUGAAAUGCUUAUAUAUCACGAAGAACUCCGAUUGCGAAGGCAGCUCACUGGACUGCAACUGACACUGAGGCUCGAAAGUGUGGGUAUCAAACAGGAUUAGAUACCCUGGUAGUC
rnacentral:rRNA from 1 species